rnacentral:lncRNA from 1 species
AUCAGAGGAAAUCCAAAAGAAGAUGAGGAUGGAUGGAGAAAAGCUUGAUCAAGUGAUGAACAACAGGAAGAUAAAGACAGUAGCAUUGUUAUAAGUUUAACACCUGAAAGAAAUAAGCAGAGAGCGAGAAAGAGAAAGAGAGAAGACAGAGAAGAUUUAUGCAACUUCUUGAUCAUUUUCAAAUAAGUUUUCAUAAGAAGCUUUAAGGAAGUUUUAUCAAAACCCUAAUAUUAAGUACAUAAGAAAAUAUCACAUGAACUCAACAGUCAGAGGAAGCUGAAAUGCUGCCAAUUUCAAGUUAUAAUUAUGGGUAGACAAAACGCUAUCUGUGUGCCAUGUCUGGGCCACAGCCUGUUUUCAGACUACUAGCAAGGUAUAUUUUGCUUCAUCCUUUUCAAAUGAAUAAUUGUCCAUUAUGUGCCUGCUGUGCAAAGACUCUGUAUUAAGGUUGAGGAAUAUUCACAGGAGGACAUAUACCGUGUUCCAUGAUUCUUGGGCAUGUGUGGACCAGUGUAUUUCAAACUUUCUCUUCACCUGGGCAUCAUCCACUAUAGGAAAAGCAGGCACAUCUCAUUGAACAAACUCCUUGAGAUUGGAGAAGGGUGAAGACUUUGGUGAAAUUAACACCUUUUCUGACCCAGGCCACCGGUACUACCAGUCUGGAUCUUGAGGCUAUCUCCAUUCAAUAUUUACAUUAGCUGGUAUCUGACCAACCAUUAGUUGGUCAAUUACACAGUCACAGUAUCAUUAGUAAUUAGAUGACACCAUUGAGCAGAAAAAUCCUUAAAGAAAGACUAAACUUUCUUGUCAAGAAAUUCAAACCAAAACUGAAGCUUGUUUUUUUUGAAAUCCAAAACAAAAAGUUAAUUAUUUCUGAAACUGUCAUCAUUUUAAAAAAAAGGUCUUCAUUCAUCUGUAUGAGUUUUUAUUUCUCUGUCAAUCUUAGUUGUAAAAUAUCCUUUCUCUUCUGUUUUGAGUGUCAGGAUGUUGCAAGCAAUUCAAUUACAAUGUACUACUCUUGAUAAAAGGUAAAAUAAAGUACAUAUGGAAAUCUGCAAUUAUAAUCAAUCCCUAAAUGUGAAAAAAAAAUGAUAAUCUUAAUACACUUGUUUUAAUCCCCUUCAGCCUGAGAAGUGCUAGUGAAGAAAGUUCAGUUGGGCUUUUAAAAUCAGAGACAUUUUAAUGGCAUAUAUGGAUAGUUUCUGUUUGAACUCAGCUUAGAAAAAUAUUCUGAGUUUUUGGUGUGUGAUGUUCCCCUUCCUCUGUCCAUGUGUUCUCAUUGUUCAAUUCCCACCUAUGGGUGGGGGGAAGGGGGAGGGAUAGCAUUAGGAGAUAUACCUCAUGCUAAAUGACGAGUUAAUGGGUGCAGCACACCAACAUGGCACAUGUAUACAUAUGUAACAAACCUGCACGUUGUGCACAUGUACCCUAAAACUUAAAGUAUAAUAAUAAUAAAAUUAAAAGAAAAAGAAAAAUAUUCUGAGUUUUCAAGGUAAUACAGAAUAUGAUUUUCACACACAUCACUUUCUUUAAUUCAGAAUCAAUGCAGAUGAACAGUUUUAUUGUGGAGUACCAAUUAUUACAUGAAUAAAUGUUGUGGUAAAACUUGGUUUUCAUUUUUGUCAAUAGAUUGUCAUUGUAUUUCAAGUAUAAACUAAUCUAAAUUAUUAAUACAUAAUGAAAUUUGUAUUUUCAAGAAAAUAUAUUCUACCAAAUGUUCUAUAAAUUCUAUUAAAUGACUAUAAUUUACAGCAGUCUACAUCGAAUUCUGGAACAAAAACAUUACAUUCUAAUGUAAGUUAAAAGAGAAGAAAGGAGACACAGAAAGAUGCCAAUAGUUCAUAUUUAUAAUAUUAAAAGAAUUUAUAAAUAUUAACUUAAUGAGGUAAAUGUGUAUCUUUGUCUUAUAUUUACUCAAAUGAGGUGUAUCUGUGAAAUUUCUAGAAAAGUAUUUAGAAUUACAUAUGUACGGACUAUGGUUCUAAAAACACACAGCUCAAAUUUAAUGAGCUAAAAAUUUGUUAACAUGUAUACCCCUUAGAUCUUUCAUAUUUUAUGUAUUUCUAGAAAACAGUAGCAGCCCAAUUGUACAACAAAACUAAAUAUGCUUAAUUUUCCAUCACUUAAAAAUUUCACUUAUUUAAAAAGGCCUCAAAUUUCAAUGCUUAUAUUGUAUCAUGAAGCAGAAAAACAAAUGGAACUGAAUUACAGUGGCUAACUGUUCUUUCAGAGUCCUGUCUUAAGUGAAUAAUGGUAUUGAAAUUGUUUCUUACAUGUUAUUUUGAACUCCAAGUUUCUUUGGAUUUUGUAUGCACUUUGGAGAGCUUUUGAUCUUUUAUAAAUAUAUUUCAAAGCACCAAAAGAUGGAAUUGUUUUCCUACUUUCAUUUAGUACCUGAAGCAAAAUUACAAAUGCUUUUAAAUAGCAGUUUGCCAUAGUAUCAAGAGAAACACGGGCCUCAACUACUAAUGUAAGCUUUUCACAAUCUUAUUUUCUGUGUUCACAAUUAUGUAACAUGAAAUAUGAUAUCCUGGGUUAGAAAAGUGAGGAAUAAAAAACUCUUGUCCUUGA